GCUGACGACCGGCGCACGGGUGCGUAACGCGUAUACAAUCUACCUUUUACAGGGGCAUAGCCCGGGGAAACCCGGAUUAAUAUCCCAUGGUAUCAUUUAGUGGCAUCACUUGAAUGAUUAAAGUUUCGGCGGUAAAAGAUGAGUAUGCGUUCUAUUAGCUAGAUGGUAAGGUAACGGCUUACCAUGGCUACGAUAGAUAGGGGUCCUGAGAGGGAGAUCCCCCACACUGGUACUGAGACACGGACCAGACUCCUACGGGAGGCAGCAGUGAGGAAUAUUGGACAAUGGGCGAGAGCCUGAUCCAGCCAUGCCGCGUGCAGGAAGACUGCCCUAUGGGUUGUAAACUGCUUUUAUACGGGAAGAAACACUCCUUCGUGAAGGAGCUUGACGGUACCGUACGAAUAAGGAUCGGCUAACUCCGUGCCAGCAGCCGCGGUAAUACGGAGGAUCCAAGCGUUAUCCGGAAUCAUUGGGUUUAAAGGGUCCGUAGGCGGGAUAAUAAGUCAGUGGUGAAAGUCUGCAGCUCAACUGUAGAACUGCCAUUGAUACUGUUGUCCUUGAGUAAUUAUGAAGUGGUUAGAAUAUGUAGUGUAGCGGUGAAAUGCAUAGAUAUUACAUAGAAUACCGAUUGCGAAGGCAGAUCACUAAUAAUUUACUGACGCUGAUGGACGAAAGCGUAGGUAGCGAACAGGAUUAGAUACCCUGGUAGUCUACGCCGUAAACGAUGGUUACUAGCUGUUUGGCUCGAUUG
rnacentral:rRNA from 1 species